AUGUACUAUUGUGGUAUUUUCUUUACAUCGUUCAACUAGCUGUCUAACUUUGAUUGGAAUUUACAGACACUCUAAAUAAGGUCUUGAUGCUUCCGAACUAGUCAAUACCAAACGAUUUAAUUCUGCUAUCUAUCAUCAUAUUGUUGUAAUCGGGACCGGAGAUGGAAUUUUUUAUUGAUAUUUUCAAAGUCUGUUUUAGAAGCAGGCUUAUUCAGCACAUCCGCAAUCUUACCGGUGCUGUGCGUGUAAAAUAAUUGCUUUUUAUAAAGUUAAGACGAACGUUCGUGGAUCUUGGAGGUCAUUUGUUUCAAAAGGACAUUACGGUUUAUGUAUAAGGUCAUUUUAGAUAUUUAUUUUAAAGAGAAUUGUGAUGUUUUAUAGAAGGAAAACGUAAAUUGGCAUUAAUUUGCCAUAACUUACCUAUUUUUAACCAAAUAAAAAGCGCUCGCAAAACAUUUGUAUGCAUUGGACGAGUAGUU
rnacentral:lncRNA from 1 species